rnacentral:rRNA from 1 species
UACGUAGGGGGCGAGCGUUGUCCGGAAUCAUUGGGCGUAAAGCGCGUGUAGGCGGCCCGGUAAGUCCGCUGUGAAAGUCCAGGGCUCAACCCUGGGAUGCCGGUGGAUACUGUCGGGCUCGAGUCCGGAAGAGGCGAGUGGAAUUCCUGGUGUAGCGGUGAAAUGCGCAGAUAUCAGGAGGAACACCGAUGGCGAAGGCAGGUCUCUGGGCCGAUACUGACGCUCAUGCACGAAAGCGUGGGGAGCAAACAGG